UACGGAGGGUGCAAGCGUUAUCCGGAAUCACUGGGUUUAAAGGGUGCGUAGGUGGGUCUGUAAGUCAGCGGUGAAAUCUCCGAGCUUAACUCGGAAACUGCCAUUGAUACUAUAGAUCUUGAAUUAUCUGGAGGUGAGCGGAAUAUGUCAUGUAGCGGUGAAAUGCUUAGAUAUGACAUAGAACACCAAUUGCGAAGGCAGCUAACUGCGCGAGCAUUGACGCUGAUGCACGAAAGCGUGGGGAGCAAACAGG
rnacentral:rRNA from 1 species